UGCACAUGCACAAGCUAAGAAUCUAGUGCUAAUGAGAGCAUCACUCCAUAAUUUACUGAUCAGUAUCUCCAUAAUGAUCCAUUCAUCAUGCAAUUGACAGAUAUGCAUGCCAGCAAUAUCUUCAUUGACAAGAACUGAAACAUCAAACACAUCAUUGAUCUUGAAUGGGUGUGCUCUCUGCCUCUGGGGGACCUGUUGCUUCCCUUUUGGCUAACAGAAAUGGGUGUGGAUCAAAUCAAAGACACAGAGUAUGAACAGUUUAGAGUGAGCUACAAGAAAUUUACAGAAAUAUUCAAACAAGAGGAGACAGGCAUACCACUACAUCACAACAGAAAUAUCUACUCUCAGAUCAUAGUCAUAAGAAGUGCUCUAGAGAAUGAUUGAUACUGAUACUUGAAUGCACUGCAGACCCCAAGGGGUUUGUUCAAUCUUUUCAGAACACAUCUUGAGUCAUUUUAUGAUAAAGUGUCUAAAGAGUCUCUGUGUGCUGCUGUAUCUCCAUUUUGGACAUCUGGAAUCACUUCAUUUGUGAAUUUAAAGCUGAAAGAGUUUACUAAAUACUGCCAAGAGGUUUGUGAUAUCUUCAAUAGUGGAAAGAGUGGACG
rnacentral:sRNA from 1 species